rnacentral:lncRNA from 1 species
AGUUAAACUAGGGAAUUGCUUACAUGUUAAAAACAAAAAUCAAAACGAGUAAAGACUUGUUUGAAUGGCGAUCACUUGGAAAAUAGGAAGAAAAAGAAAUACGUAUGUUGUCAGUUUUUCUGGAAAACCCUUC